GGUUACUUUGCUAAGUUAAUAGAGCGUCGCGAUGAUAACGCGAAUGUCACUGGUUCGAUUCAAAUUCUGGCCA
rnacentral:tRNA from 1 species